CGUGGGCAACCUGCCUAUAAGACUGGGAUAACUUCGGGAAACCGGAGCUAAUACCGGAUACGUUCUUUUCUCGCAUGAGAGAAGAUGGAAAGACGGUUUACGCUGUCACUUAUAGAUGGGCCCGCGGCGCAUUAGCUAGUUGGUGAGGUAAUGGCUCACCAAGGCGACGAUGCGUAGCCGACCUGAGAGGGUGAUCGGCCACACUGGGACUGAGACACGGCCCAGACUCCUACGGGAGGCAGCAGUAGGGAAUCUUCCGCAAUGGACGAAAGUCUGACGGAGCAACGCCGCGUGAACGAAGAAGGCCUUCGGGUCGUAAAGUUCUGUUGUUAGGGAAGAACAAGUACCAGAGUAACUGCUGGUACCUUGACGGUACCUAACCAGAAAGCCACGGCUAACUACGUGCCAGCAGCCGCGGUAAUACGUAGGUGGCAAGCGUUGUCCGGAAUUAUUGGGCGUAAAGCGCGCGCAGGUGGUUCCUUAAGUCUGAUGUGAAAGCCCACGGCUCAACCGUGGAGGGUCAUUGGAAACUGGGGAACUUGAGUGCAGAAGAGGAAAGUGGAAUUCCAAGUGUAGCGGUGAAAUGCGUAGAGAUUUGGAGGAACACCAGUGGCGAAGGCGACUUUC
rnacentral:rRNA from 1 species